AUUGAACGCUGGCGGCAGGCUUAACACAUGCAAGUCGAGCGGGGUGAUGGUGCUGGCACUAUCACUUAGCGGCAGACGGGUGAGUAAUGCUUAGGAAUCUGCCUAUUAGUGGGGGACAACAUCUCGAAAGGGAUGCUAUACCGCAUACGUCCUACGGGAGAAAGCAGGGGAUCACUUGUGACCUUGAGCUAAUAGAUGAGCAUAAGUCGGAUUAGCUAGUUGGUGGGGUAAAGGCCUACCAAGGCGACGAUCUGUAGCGGGUCUGAGAGGAUGAUCCGCCACACUUGGACUGAGACACGGCCCAGACUCCUACGGGAGGCAGCAGUGGGGAAUAUUGGACAAUGGGGGGAACCCUGAUCCAGCCAUGCCGCGUGUGUGAAGAAGGCCUUAUGGUUGUAAAGCACUUUAAGCGAGGAGGAGGCUCUUUUGGUUAAUACCCAGAAUGAGUGGACGUUACUCGCAGAAUAAGCACCGGCUAACUCUGUGCCAGCAGCCGCCGUAAUAC
rnacentral:rRNA from 1 species